UACGGGGGGGGGCAAGCGUUGUUCGGAAUUACUGGGCGUAAAGGGCUCGUAGGCGGCCAACUAAGUCAUACGUGAAAUCCCUCGGCUUAACCGGGGAACUGCGUCUGAUACUGGAUGGCUUGAGUUCGGGAGAGGGAUGCGGAAUUCCAGGUGUAGCGGUGAAAUGCGUAGAUAUCAGGAGGAACACCGGUGGCGAAGGCGGCUUUCUGGACAGUAACUGACGCUGAGGCGCGAAAGCCGGGGGGAGCAAACAGG
rnacentral:rRNA from 1 species